rnacentral:rRNA from 1 species
UCAGGAUGAACGCUAGCUACAGGCUUAACACAUGCAAGUCGAGGGGAAACGAUAUUGGAAGCUUGCUUCCGAUAGGCGUCGACCGGCGCACGGGUGAGUAACGCGUAUCCAACCUGCCCAUCACUUGGGGAUAACCUUGCGAAAGUAAGACUAAUACCCAAUGAUAUCUCUAGAAGACAUCUGAAAGAGAUUAAAGAUUUAUCGGUGAUGGAUGGGGAUGCGUCUGAUUAGCUUGUUGGCGGGGUAACGGCCCACCAAGGCGACGAUCAGUAGGGGUUCUGAGAGGAAGGUCCCCCACAUUGGAACUGAGACACGGUCCAAACUCCUACGGGAGGCAGCAGUGAGGAAUAUUGGUCAAUGGACGAGAGUCUGAACCAGCCAAGUAGCGUGCAGGAUGACGGCCCUAUGGGUUGUAAACUGCUUUUAUAAGGGAAUAAAGUGAGUCUCGUGAGACUUUUUGCAUGUACCUUAUGAAUAAGGACCGGCUAAUUCCGUGCCAGCAGCCGCGGUAAUACGGAAGGUCCGGGCGUUAUCCGGAUUUAUUGGGUUUAAAGGGAGCGUAGGCCGGAGAUUAAGCGUGUUGUGAAAUGUAGACGCUCAACGUCUGCACUGCAGCGCGAACUGGUUUCCUUGAGUACGCACAAAGUGGGCGGAAUUCGUGGUGUAGCGGUGAAAUGCUUAGAUAUCACGAAGAACUCCGAUUGCGAAGGCAGCUCACUGGAGCGCAACUGACGCUGAAGCUCGAAAGUGCGGGUAUCGAACAGGAUUAGAUACCCUGGUAGUCCGCACGGUAAACGAUGGAUGCCCGCUGUUGGUCUGAAUGGGUCAGCGGCCAAGCGAAAGCAUUAAGCAUCCCACCUGGGGAGUACGCCGGCAACGGUGAAACUCAAAGGAAUUGACG